GAACAUUGAAAGGCUAGAAUUAGUAAACAACAACUUUGUUUGAGUCCAACAUGUGCACAGGGGCAAGAGGGGUGUUUUGUUUACAAACAUAUUUGCCGAUUCUCUGUUGUCAAGUCGACGCAAAUUUCCAACGGAGGAAAUUUUUAGCUAUAUUUUAACAACCAUUAUAACGUUAAUUUAACUUAUUUGUGUUGUAUUUUAUAGGAAAAUUUAAAAUAAAAAGUAUAAAUACUACAAUUAACCUAUUUUAAGAAUAAAUAUAAUAUCCUUAAGCCAAAAAAAACAAAAUUAUUAACAUUAUUAUCCCUAAAACUGCUUCUAAAAAAUUUGAAGCGACAACACCGAAGCUUAAGCGCCUGAGCCAUACGCGUAGUGUCAUCUGUCAAACGGCUUUUUGUUUAUUUUCGGGAUUCGUGUAUUUUCUUUAAUUUUCGGUUUCAAAAGGAAAAAGGCCACAUUUUAGUGUUUUUUUAAAUUGCUAGGAUGGGAAAAACUUGUGUCGUUUGUGCCGCAUCAUGAUAAAAAGGUGAUUCAAGCCGAUCUUUUCACAAAUUGCCUAAUAUAUGCCCAAAGGGAACAAUGGAUUUUAUUAAUGGAAAUCAACACAAUUAAACAGAACAUAUUUGUUUGUUCAGAUCACAUCCUUAGAAGUGAUUUCUUAUAUAAGGAAGAUAAUAUUAUCAGUAGCCAGACUUUAUUAAAAAAAUGAGCUCUACCUCAAAGGUAAUUUUUUUUAAAUAUAUUUUUCUAGUAUAAAAAAAUCGUCAAAAAAAGGAUUAGUGUUACUCAUAUAAGCUUUAUUUAUACCUAAUACUUAUUAAAUUAGGUAUGUAUGUAAAACUAUUUUUUUACUAGGAUUUCUGAUGCACUGGUUAAAAACACAGCAGCCGAUAAUUCAGUUAAUUUACCAAGUGAUUUAUCCUUCAAAGCUGCAGGGGUAGCUUUCCUGAAGAGUGAAAAAACUUCUUUAGCUUCCAAAAUGGUAUAUAGUACAAACAGUGAAGCUAAUAUAGACAAAUCUGAUCAUUCAUCAUCAACAAUAACUGCAUCUGAGAUUAAUAGUUCUACAGUAACCGUGGGGUCUAGGUCAACAAUUACUAUUUCUCAUCCAAGCCGUUUUUGUUUAACUGCUACACAUUCCCUGACUCUGCCAAGGAAAAGGGUAAAAUCAAAAUGAUAUCCUGAGGACCUAAGCACUGAUGAUUCCACCGUUUCAAAAGCUAAAUCACUUGUUACCAAAUUAUGGAAAAAAAAUAAAGAACAAAAAAUUAAAAUUCGAAGAUUGCAAUAAACAAAUUUGCCCCAAAGAAAUUGAAUUAGAUGUCUCAAUUCAUUAUUUAAAUACUUCGAAAAAGUCCAACAUACUACAUAUUUUAUUUGACUUGUAAAAGUACUUGUUUGUAUAUUACUACUAAUAAACUAAUCUAAUCUAUUGUACAUAGUCUUUAUUCUUAGGUAAGCUU